GGAUGGUUGGCAGAGAGGUAAUGCAGCCGCUUGCUAGGCGGCCGAGCCCGCAAGGGUGCGGAGGUUCGAUCCCUCCACCAUCCGCCA
rnacentral:tRNA from 1 species